rnacentral:lncRNA from 1 species
CUUUCUGCCCCUCCCCUGCUCUCACUCACUCUCUCUCAAAUGAAAUAAGCCUGAAAAAAGAAGGGAUGCGUUUCGAACAUUUCCCUUGUUUUUAAUAUACUUUAUGUCACUGUAAGUGUACAUAAUUUACUUUUUAUUUUUUUAAAUUUUUUUUUCAACGUUUAUUUAUUUUUGGGACAGGGAGAGACAGAGCAUGAACGGGGGAGGGGCAGAGAGAGAGGGAGACACAGAAUCGGAAACAGGCUCCAGGCUCCGAGCCAUCAGCCCAGAGCCCGACGCGGGGCUCGAACUCGCGGACCGCGAGAUCGUGACCUGGCUGAAGUCGGACGCUUAACCGACUGCGCCACCCAGGCGCCCCUAAUUUAUUUUUUAGUCAUGGCCAUGAUCAUCAACAGAUUCACAGAAUUCCUGAAAAUGGAGUCAUCAGCUCACACCUGUGUCCUGGUAAAACCCGGAUGGUUCCACUCGCUCUAAGUGUCGAGAGUCAGAGAGGACGCCUGCAAAGAAAGGGCUUUCCCCAGAUCACGCGCCCAAAAGGAAGGGGGCCGCCUUAUCCCUGUCCCAUUAGAGUCUGUGACUUCUGAGCGGUUUCUGAGGCCGGGGACACAGGGCCUUCUGGGACACCCUCCACUUGGCUUUCUCCUCCGGAAACGGAAACUGGGACAAGAGAGGGAGGCGCGGUCUGCCACCUGCCGGUCAACGCGCAGGUUCCGGGGGCGCCCCUUGCGUGUUCCAGGCUCGUUUGUUUUUCCAGCCUUGUAUCUUGUCCAUUUCUCUCAUCUACCGUUUAUAUAGUCACAUCAUACCUUGCCGAAAAUUAAUAUCCAAACACACGCGCCAUCUCACAUCGUAAGGAAAACGGCCGUCUUCCCCCAGCCCACUUCUGGCCACUGUUGAUUUUCUGCAAUAUGCUCUUCCAGAUUUUUCCCUCCGUUCCUACAACGGGUUUUUUUUUUUUUUUUAAAGCCCCCAAACCAUAGGAGUCUCCUACGCAGGCUGCUCCUUUAUUUAACGAAUUGUAAACAUCACAUCCAGCUCUUGACGACUUGCAAGAAAACGCGGAGUCAAUGGGGCGCGUCAUGUAACAGAAGGAAUUACUGUCAUUAUCAAAGCUACAGGCAGGCGCUGCGCGAGUCUCCGAGACCCCUCGUUUCUGAUCUCCUUUUGAGGCUGAGGCCCCCGCCCGGCGUUUUCAAAGCAUCCCGUGGCCAUGGGAACCAGUGGCACACAGACGCGCGGACCCUCACCUUACCUGCGUUUCUCGUCCUUGCGUUUCUCCGCCCCCCGCAAGAGAUCCUCCGGCCCUCUGGACGUCUACACGCACCGGGAGGGAUUAAGGAGUUAACAUUCGCCCGACGACCUCGACUCACGGGGUCAGAAGCUGCUGGAUUGAAUGCUCUCCGUGCCUUUGUCGUCUGUCUUGGGUGGAAACAUCUGAGGCACGUCCUACGGGGUUCCUCACCGGUGCCCACGUGGGACUGAGCCCGGGUCCCUAGUAGCACCCAGAUCAAUACCGUACCUUUGAGUCGGUUUCCUCUGGUCCCCAUUUCACCCAUCGGUCUCUGCUCCAGCUCCCUGAUCGCCUCCCCAAAUCACCUUGGUCUUGGGCUCCGACUUGGGGGAACCGAGGUAGCACAGUGAGUACUGUUUGUCUAUCUGAGACAACCUUCCUCAGCAUCCAAUAUCUCUCCACACCUCCCGGCUCUAAUUAACUCACUAAGCGAGCACGACUGUCCGAGGCAGGGCUUUUCCAAUGCUUGAGAAUCCUCUAAAUCAGUGGUUCUCCUGGGGCGCCUGGGGGGCUCGAUCAGUUAAGCGUCCGACCUUCAGCCCAGGCCGUGAUCUCGAGGUUCACGGGUUCGAGCUCCACGUCGGGCUCUGUGCUGACAGUUCGAAGCCCGGAGCCUGCUUUGGAUUCCGUGUCUCCCUCUCUCUGCCCCUCCCUUGCUCACGCUCUGUCUCUCUCAAAAAUAAAUAAACACUAAAAAAAAUUUAAAUCA